rnacentral:misc_RNA from 1 species
GUAGGUGAACCUGCGGAAGGAUCAUUACAGAGUAUCAUGCCCUUCGGGGUAGAUCUCCACCCUUGAAUAACAUACCUUUGUUGCUUUGGCAGGACGCACUCGUGCCAGGGGCUUCGGCUCUUGAGUGCCUGCCAGAGGACCCCUAAACUCUGAAUGUUAGUGUCGUCUGAGUACUAUUAAAUAGUUAAAACUUUCAACAACGGAUCUCUUGGUUCUG